UGGUAGAUGCACCCUGAUUAAUUUUCCGGCUCAAAAACUUGAGUCGGAAUUUUUUUU
rnacentral:sRNA from 1 species